GACGUAGGGCGCAAGCGUGUCCGGAUUUAUUGGGCGUAAAGAGCUCGUAGGCGGCUUGUUGCGUCGACCGUGAAAACCCGUGGCUCAACUGCGGGCUUGCGGUCGAUACGGGCGGGCUAGAGUUCGGUAGGGGAGACUGGAAUUCCUGGUGUAGCGGUGAAAUGCGCAGAUAUCAGGAGGAACACCGGUGGCGAAGGCGGGUCUCUGGGCCGAUACUGACGCUGAGGAGCGAAAGCGUGGGGAGCGAACAGG
rnacentral:rRNA from 1 species